rnacentral:lncRNA from 1 species
GGCUGGAGUAGAGGAGGGAAUUAGGCUUUUGGGUCAUGAGUCUGCGACGAGUGAUAUGAAAAUCAAUCGUGCAUCAUAAUAUUUAUAAGUGAGUCUCUCAUAGAGAGAUACCAGGGCCGAGGAGGACAUGCUAGAGCUGCGUAGAACCCAGGCCAUAGGUGGGCCCCUUCUCUGAUGAUGACACUAAAAGGUUGGAUGGGGAAGAUUUUCAUAGUUUGCUAAUAAGUGGGAUGCUACGUGGGUUCAUUAGAUUGAAUCGGUUUUUCUUCCAAUAGCUUGAACUUUUGAGU